CCAGUGUUGUCGCAUCUUCAUGUUCGUGGGAAUGUUAACAUUUCAACAAAUAUUUCAGGUGUUCAACAACCAGCACAGGACUGUGACCGCUACACUGAACUCCUGAUCAUUCAGAGACCCAGGGUUCCGAAGGAGAGAGGAGGAGCUCCGUUCCAGAGGUGACACCCUCCAGCAGGUCUUCAAGACCAGGGCCAGUGAGACACACAGCCGCAUUCAU